AGUAGCUUUUUCUAGCUUUUCCAUUUCUACCUUUAUUUGUUCAUUCCUAGAUCCGCCCUGGCACCACUGGUAAUUAUUUUUAUGUUAUUGUGAUAACAUGUUAAAUGGUGAUAAAAUCAUUAAUGAGGUCAUGUCGUGACUCAUUUCAGUGCAAAACAGACAACAAGGCAAAGCAGGAAUACAAUAUUAUUAUUAUAUGCACAACAAAAGGGUCAAACGAAUCACGAAAAGACUUUAAACAGAAAUUAGAUAAGUACCGAAGAUCAGUUGUUAGUAGAAGCAAGCGUAUCGGCUAGAGAAAAAGCGUAUUGCCCUUACAGUAAAUUCAAAGUCGGAGCGGCAUUGAGAUGCGAUGACGGCACUAUAUUUACUGGAU